GCGGCGGACGGGUGAGUAAUGCUUAGGAAUCUGCCCAGUAGUGGGGGAUAGCCCGGGGAAACCCGGAUUAAUACCGCAUACGUCCUACGGGAGAAAGCAGGGGAUCUUCGGACCUUGCGCUAUUGGAUGAGCCUAAGUCGGAUUAGCUAGUUGGUGGGGUAAAGGCCUACCAAGGCGACGAUCCGUAGCUGGUCUGAGAGGAUGAUCAGCCACAUCGGGACUGAGACACGGCCCGAACUCCUACGGGAGGCAGCAGUGGGGAAUAUUGGACAAUGGGGGCAACCCUGAUCCAGCCAUGCCGCGUGUGUGAAGAAGGCUUUCGGGUUGUAAAGCACUUUCAGUAGGGAGGAAAACCUUAUGGCUAAUACCCAUAAGGCUUGACGUUACCUACAGAAGAAGCACCGGCUAACUCCGUGCCAGCAGCCGCGGUAAUACGGAGGGUGCAAGCGUUAAUCGGAAUUACUGGGCGUAAAGCGCGCGUAGGUGGUUUGGUAAGCGAGAUGUGAAAGCCCCGGGCUUAACCUGGGAACGGCAUUUCGAACUGUCAGACUAGAGUGUGGUAGAGGGUAGUGGAAUUUCCUGUGUAGCGGUGAAAUGCGU
rnacentral:rRNA from 2 species